GUCCGCGGGCGCAAUAUCUCUGCGAAUGAGGGUUAGCUGCUUGCCGAAGGUACAGUACACGGGAUAAAAAGGAAAGCUGCAAAAAAACGGGAGGGAAAUACUUUCGGUAUUGACUGAGAGGCUUUAUUAGCCGUUGAUGCAUGUCAGAAAACAAAUUUUAACAUGCCGGUCCCGUGUUUUGCAGCAAACGGAAAAACUGCUACGGACCUGAGGCUGCGAUAGGCAGAGGAUAUUUAUUGAGAAUAAUUUGCAGACCAGGAUCCCAAUGCAAGUUCUCCAUUAAGCGGAGUGAUCAGGAUCUGAGUAUCAUUGACACUUAACAGUGAAAGGAAAGAGGUUUAACCAUUCUAUGCGUGGGAGAAUACUCCUGGACCUUUCGUGAUCUAAUCCCGUAACAGUGUGAGCUGCUACAAUGCACAUGCUAGUAAAAGCAUAAGAGGACAGAUGAGAUGAGUGCAUGGCUGGAGCUAUAACUUAAAAAGAUUUGGAUUCCUGAGGCAUUGAGACUGUUUGUUUGUUUCUGGGGAAGGUGGGACAUGCACAAGCUUGAACAAUUGUCCUGGGCAGAGCUGGGACAGAUAUUCUUGUUGAUGCUUUUGCUAGUUCCACUGGUGAGGAUUUAAACUCGUAUGACAGGGGAAUGGGAACCAAAGUAUACCUUUAGCAGUAAAAGACUCAAAUCAGCAAAUGGGACGUGAAAUUAGUUCAUGAUGUUGUCGGUGGCUGAAAGAUUAAAAGAAAGAAGGAUUAAUCAAGAUCAAAUCUCUUUUCAUACAUCAGUCCUGUGAUCCCAGGAAUUGGUCUGGUGAACCUUCUUUGCGAUCAUUCAGUAGCCAGACCAUCCUUCCUUUGGAAAGGAGAACAAAGGUGCACACUACUGCAGGUGUGGUCUCACCAAGGCCCUUAUAGAAAGACAUCCCUCCUCCUGUACUCGAAUCCUGUCACAAUGAAGGCCGAAAUAUCAUUUGCAUUCUUCACUACUUGCUGCUGCCUGUUUCCUAAAAGAGAAUAGGAGAGAAACACGGAACUAAAUGGGGUCAGACAGUCGGGUACAAUUGUUGAACACACUGUCCCCAUUGUAUCGGUGCUGGCCAUCAAGCACCUAUUUAAGCUAGGCCCGUUUUCUGGCACUCGGUGUGUAACCUAUAUUAUGGUGCAGUGGAUGAUCAUCUCAACACUUCUUCAAGAUUGCAAUGGUUCCUGCAUCUAUUAACAUUUCAGAUGCUGCCAGAUCUACUGUGUAUCUCCAUCUUUUUCUGUUUUUAUUCCAGAUUUCGGGUAUUUUGCUGUGUAUUCUUAGUCCUUCAGAAGCAUCAGAGGGUAUGGGGAGAAAACAGGAAUUGGAUUCAUUUUCAGAUGUAUAAAAUGCCUGCCCUUCAUGUCUGUCCAAACUCUAUCUCUUUUUGUAGUUUUGGGCAAACGCUGACUGUUUCCUUUCCCUGAAGGACAUUAAAUGAACCAGUUCAGUUUUACUGAUAAUCCAGCAGUGCCCCUCAGUGUUGCAUCCACAAUUGACCAGAUUAAUUUCUGAGUUUCACAAUCUUUGUGUGUGUUCUUCUGGUUUCUCUCUCUCUCUCUCUCUCUACUUUUCUUUUUUUUCUUCAGUUUGAAAUUUUGAUUGCAUUCAGAGAAAUCAAACAAAACCACAUCCAGAUCUGACACUCAAUCUGUUUGUCAUAACCUAAUUAUCUCAGGAUUUUGAACAUUAAAGGAAGAAGCACUGUUCACACCAGGGAGAAAUGCGUAUUGUCUGUGUGUCGAAGAGUCUUUGAAGAUUCAUCUGAAAUGCCCAAACACCAGCGCAGUCACACUUGGGAGAGACUGUGGAAAUGUGGGGAUUGUGGGAAGGGAUUUAUUUACCCAUCCCAGCUGGAAAUGCACCAACGCAGUCACACUGGGGAGAAACCGUUCAUUUGCUCUGAUUGUGGGCUGGGAUUCACUCAGUCAAGCAACCUGCUGAAACACCGAGUUCACAGUGGGGAGAGACUGUUCACAUGUUCCGAGUAUGGGAAGGGAUUUGCUCGCUCACUCAACCAACCUGCUGAGACACCAGCGAGUUCACUCUGGGGACAGACCAUUCACUUGUUCUAUGUGUGGAAAGGGAUUCACUCAAUCAUCCCAACUGUUAACACACCAGCAAGUUCACCACAACCACAUUUGAAGGAUUUUGCCCUUAAAUCAAGGAAUGAACUUUGAUCUUUGGGCUGUUUGUACUGGUGUCAUUAGUCCCUGCUCAAAACUUGAUCUUCUCUUGGGAAAUAAGGUAGGGCAGGUGACUGAGGGGUCAGCAGGGGCGAGAAUAUUUUGGGGCCUAUGAUUGUAUCUCUAUUAGUUUUAAAAUAAUUAUGGAAAAGGAUAGACUUUGGUCUAAGAGUCAAAGUUUUAAAUGAGACUAAGGCCAAUUUUGACACUACUAUGCUCCUUAAAAGCACAGUAAGACCGCCUAUGUGUGGGAAUGCACGAGUUGGGUGAGAUACAAAAAAGUAUUUUACAUCAGUAUUUACUGUGAUCAAGGAUACAAAAGCUAAAGAACUUAGAGAAAUGAAUGUGUAUCUUGAAAAGUUCCAUGUUGUGGAGGAGGUGGUGCUGGAUGCCUUACAGACCAUAAAGGUGGAUAAAUCCCCAGGACCUCUUCAGGUGUAUUCUCGAACUUUGCGGGAAGCUAGGCUUGCGAUUGGGCCCCUUGCUCAGAUAUUUGCACCAUUGACAGUCAUAGGUGAGCUGUUACACUGGAGGUUGGCUAAUCUGGUGCCAUUGUUUAAGAAAGGUGGUAACAGAAAACCAGGGAACAAUAAACUUUUGGUGAGCCUGACGUCAGCUGUGGGUAAGUUGUUGGAGGGAAUUCUGAGGGAUAGGAUUUACAUAUAUUUGGAAAGCGUGGACUGAAUGGGGAAUAGUCGACAUGGCUUUGUCCAUAGGAAAUUAUGUCUUACUAACUUGAUUGAGUUUUUUUGAAGAAGUUAGAAACAAGAUUGAUGGCAGAGCGGUGGAUGUUUUCGAUAUUCCGCAUGGUCGACUGAUUAACAAGGUUAGAUCACAUGGAAUCCAGGGAGAGCUGGCCAUUUGGAAAGGCGUUUGACCUGCAGUAUGCUGCAAGGAUUGGUACUUAGUAGCUAUAACUCGUACAUUCACAUCCAAAUCAUCUUUAUAAAUGACAAAAUGGAGUGGACCCAGCUCUGAUCCUUGCAGCACACCACUGGUCACAGGCCUCCAGUCUACAAAGCAACCCUCCACCAGCACUCCGUCUUCUACCUUCAAGUCAGAUCUGUUUCCAAAUGACUGGUUCUCUCUGUAUUCCAUGUGAUCUGACCUUGCUCAUCAGUCUACCAUGAGGAACCUUGUCAAACGCCUUAGUGACAUCCAUAUAGAAUACAUCCACCU